rnacentral:lncRNA from 1 species
GUGGCCCGCCCGCUGUACCAGAGCAGGAAGCCUCGUCCUCCUGUGCCCUCGUCCGCAGUCAUCCUCAGGGUCACCUGGUUGCCGGGGGCGACUAAGGGCGCUGGCCGGAAGGUCCCACAGAAACGUCCAAGCCGCUGGCCGGAGGUUCCAGACCCGGCAAAGACUUCCAGAGCAUCGUAACGGCAGGCAGGGUGCAGCUCGAAGUCGAAGACUCGGAAGGAAAGGGACACAGUCUGGCCCUCAGGGACCUGACGACGAGGACAGGGGAGAGGACCUGCAAAGUCAGGCCACACACAACCCAGGCAAAGGAUACUUCCCUUUCCCCAAGCGUUUCAUACGGACACUGGGCCUGAACAGGAAGGGACGCCAUCAGGGAGCAGAGCAGAGGGCCUGGGCUCUGCAGGAGCUCAUUGCCCAGGGGACAAGCCCUGGGGUCUGUGGAGAGAUUCAAGGACCAGAAAUAAAACUGGGAGUAGAAGAGCAGGCCUGGAGUUAAGGUGUGAGGACACUUUGCCACAUGUUACUGUGGGCACUGCUGCCAUCAGUGAAGAGGGGAGGGGGCCUGGACUUCCCUGGGCGCAGUGGUGCAGGGAGGAGGGCGGCAGGGGCUGGGUGGACCCGGGUUCUCUUAGCAGUCAGGCCUCAGAGACUUCAACAAGGGGGUAGCGAAGAGAGGGUCUUUCUCACCGUUAUUGUCCAGAUGCAUUCCUUAUUAGGGGGGUAGAGGUUGGGGAAACCCUCACUUGCCACGUAACCAGACUCCCCAGUCACAUCCCCUCCGCACAGGAACACAGGUCUGGAGAACAGAAGAGGGGGCAGCCAUGAGUGGAGGAGAGCUUGGGAAGGAUAGGGUAAUGAGGGUGAGGGGCCAGAGAGGGAAGCCAGGGGGAUGAGGGAGAAAGGGGGUCUGGGGCAGCUUCAGCCAGCCAGGCUGGGAUUGAGAGGAUCAGGAACAUGUGGCUGUCUCUGCAACACCCCCCAAUCCCCACCCCCACCCCAACAGGAAUUCCCGGAAUCCUCCUCGGGCUGUUCCUCACUCUCCCCCCUCGCGCCCUGCCUGGCAGUCGGGGACAGGAGCCGCCUAACUACUUCCAGAUGUGGACACAGCCACGAGGCCAUGGGGGGGGAGGGGGCGGGGAGAUGAGAAGCAGCAGUGAUGGCCCUCAUAUUGAACCUGGAGACCAGGGUCCCCCAGCUCCCAACCUUUGCCCUGCUCCUGUUCCUGCUAACUACUUGAGUAUCUGAUUCCCAAGUCU